CGUAGAAGUUAUGUUUGGCUGGGUGGGAGUGCUGGGAUCAGCAAGGAUCCUGGUGCUCCACACAAGCAGACGGCCCCAGACUAGACUGUCCUAGCUUGGGCUAAGCUGCUUGUGAGGACAGCCUUAAUAUAGCAUAGUUUUUAAAAUGUCCCUUUAUAUAUAUAUUAUUUUUAAAUUCAGAUAUAUGAUGAAGCAUAAUACUUUGUUGUUUUGAAAAACAUUAUCUGAGUGCUGAGAAACAGGAAAAGAAAGAGGGUGUUUGUUGCCUGGUUUGGAUGGGUAAUUUGUCUUAUAAAUGCAAAGUAACCUCUUAGGUAAUAAUGCUGAUUCUUCUCACAAUCUGAAUGUGUCUUCAACUUUAGGCUUGCUUGGCAGUUUUCAGUAAUUGGGCUCAUUAGCCAUAAGCAAAUGCAGCAAUUAGCAUGUUUCUGCAACCUGAAUGAUGGCCUGCAAAAUUGCACUUUAUUCAUUGCGAAUAACUCAGAUGACCUUUUUCGCUGAUCAAGGUAGCCACAAUAAGCAGAAAUAUAAAGAGUGGCUGCCAUUGUUCUGGCAUGACAGAACAACAUCUAGCUUUCUCUCCCUUCAAACUAACUAACAGGAGGAGGGGAGAUUUUGAGGGGCUGGUUUCUCUUUAAGAGAUAAGUCCUUGUCUGUGUGUGUGUUAUUUCCCAGGGCUAGACUUUGCCAUGGCUAGCAAACUCCUGUGUUUUUGUUUGUCCCUGCCUGGAGGGGGUGGAGUCAGCUAGGGCUGUGGGAGGCCCCAUAUUCCUUUGAGCCACAUCCUGUGUCUGUUUGAAGCCUACUCUCUACAUAAGAGGUGAAGGCCCAAGAGCAUAGCUAACAGGGAUAACAAACAGGAUGUUGGAGUUUUGCAGGAGUUUAGCGGGAAGUGUGAGGGGGAGCCUGGAACAAGCCUCUGUGAUCACAAGGAGCCCGGUGGAGAAGAAAAGGUAAGUACAGAUCCCUUUCUCAUAUAAUUACUGAUCUCUCUAUUCUUGAGAAAGGCUGUUUGGACAGUCAAAAAACUGACCAAUACAGCUGAGACCUAUCCUUCUAAUAAACUAUCUCAAAAUACUUUAAACAGUCAACAAAACCAGUAUGAAGCUAGAAAGCCAACAGGGGAGGGGCCACUUCCCAGGGUAUUGCACAGAGUGUCACAUGUAUGACUACUUGCUCCAUGGGCAGAAGUGUCAUGUCUCAGACUUCUGACUCAGAAGAGUCAGAGCAGGAGGAUUCGCCUGCUAGUGAGGGCUCAGAGGCACAGCAACAGGAUUUGGCAGGGGGACCAGACUCUGGAGCUGAGGAUUUGCAACAGCUGCCAGACAUGAUUUCUGAUGGGGAGGAGCCUGGGAUUUCAUCUGUCUUGAGAAGGCGUCUCAAGAGGCAAGCUCAGUGGGAGUCACGCAGGCGCAGGAGAUCACAAGAGAGGAAGCCGAAGUGCUGACUGGCUGCUGGUUCUCUUGAGCCAUAUAUAUUUAGCAGUCUCUCAAUUGCUCAGAUGCUGUUUGCAACUUUCGCUGGCCGCAGACAGUGUGCUAUUUGAAUUCCAAACUUUUUCCGAGUUCCAGUUUGCCUUGUUUAUGCUUUCCUGCUUUGUUCUGUUAAUUCCUUGUUCUAGUGUCCUUCGCUAGUUUCAUUCCUUGCUUUGUGUUUUCUUUUCACUUAUUACUCAGUUAUUGUUAGAGGGGGGUACCUAGUUCAGUUCAGGGGACUUAAUUCAUUUACUAUUUUCUUUGUGAGCCUUUUCUUUUAUUUCUUGCAGUUUUGCUGCUGCUUUCUGUUAUCUUACAGGGGGAGUGCUGAAGGGGGUUGUAAAUCCUGUUGGGUUAGCCGAGCUAACAGAUUUACGACAAGAAGUCAUGAGUGUGUGCUUGGUGCAAGGAGCUCCUGGCUCUCAGGGACCAAGUUCGUUCCCUUGAGUCCAAGAUGGCGGAUCUGGAGAAGCUCAGAGAGACAGAGAGGCAUGCGGAUGAGACCUUCAGGGAUGUGGUAGAGGCAUCCCACUCCAGGGCUGAUAGCUCCUCUGCUGUCAGGGAGAAUGAAGGUCUUGGGGAAGGAGGAAAUAGGUCUGAGGCAGAGAGAAAUGCUCCUUUAGAAGGGACCCAUUCUGUGUAAGAUGAGCCCAUAUCCUCUUGCAGAGCAGCUUUUAAAAUGACUCCUAGGGAACAGCCAGCAGGAGCUGGGCAGUAUCCGGUUCGGCAAAUGCCAUCUUUUAAACUGCGAGAGUGCAAAGGAUUCAGAUAAAACAGAAAAGGACAGAGCAGAACCACAUAAAGAGUAGACAGAAGGCUGUGCCAGCUGGUCAAGGAGUCAAAGAAAGAUAGCAUACAUCAGGUGAGAGAUUCUGCAUAUAGGUGCUCAUAUGCCAAUGCCAGAAGCCUCCGAGCCAGGAUGGGUGAGCUGGGGUGCUUGGUUGCUAACACAGAAAUGGAGGAGAGGUCUAUCAACAGUUACUAGACUGAGGGUUAUAGGCCACCUUCAGCCUCAAAGGUAGGAUGCCUCUGAGUACCAGUUGCAGGGGAGUAACAGCAGGAGAGAGGGCAUGCCCUAAACUCCUGCCUGUAGGCUUCCAGUGGCAUCUGGUGGGCCACUGUGUGAAACAGGAUACUGGAAUAGAUGGGUCUUGGGCCUGAUCCAGCAGGGCUGUUCUUAUGUUCUUAUUGUAAAGGCAGUUGUAGAUGCUAUAGCAGAGAGGUAUAGCUUCCAAAAGAGUAGGUUUAAUGGAUGUGUAACGAUCCUUUCCUUUCCUGUAAAGAGUGAACCAGAAAUGAACCCUGUCCUGUCUGUCAGGCAGUGACUUCUAGGGAUCAGCCAUUCAGCACAUGAUGACUUGAACCUAGAGGGGCUGGAGUCAGGAAACGAAGGGGGUAUUUGUUCUCUCUCUCAGAGGGAGCCAGAAGGGUGAUGAAAGAAGAUGGGGAGUAGGCUUUGUGAGCGCCAGCAAUGAAGUCUUGCUGCCUCAUGGCCAACAGCCAUCCUGGAGACUUCACUCAUGGAAGGACAUCUGCAGAUCCUUGAGAACAAGAUUGCAGGAAGCUUGAAUUCUCUCCUGGAGUUUGGGCUUGAAAAUGAAUGACUGGUGGCGAGAGGAGGCCUCUGCUGAAACAAAACCAAUUCAUUGAAGGAGAAACAUGCUACUCCUCAAAACUGUCUGGGAUAUUGUGUGAAGUGUCAGAGAGUCAACUAAAGCAUGUAAAUUUCAAGGCAAGGACAAUGAGGCUGAGAGGGGUGAUGAUGAUAAGCUUCCUGGAACAUGUGAAAGGAAAUGCAAUAGUGGAGGCCUCUGCACAGCGCAUGGGAAAGAGCUCCUGACCUCACCUAGUUCACUGCUGCUUCCACCCUCGCCUAGGUCAUUAGCCACAUAUAUCACUUUUGCUCUGACAAUCCAUUUUACUUGGUCACUCAACACCAUGGACUGAUGAAAACCUUCAGAACUGAAGACAGCCAGAAGAAUAACAUUUUCCCAUAUACUAAAUAUUGUAGUCCGAGUGUAGAGGAAAUGCCAUUUCCUUGCAAAAGAGACAGAGUAUCAAAAGAAGAUUCUCUGCCAAUCAACACAGGACUUUUCAGCCACUAAUGCCAUAUGCCACUGUUACAGCUGCCUGGCCAUGCUGUGAUGGGACGUAGCAGAUGGCCACAGAACAAACUAAUGCUGGAAGAAGGCAGAGAAGGCAGCCAUUCAGGGGCAUAGCUAUAAUUGGACUUGAGGCUACUUUCCAGUAGGCUUAUGAGAUCACCCUGUGUGCCUUAACGUUGCAAUGCCUGGACCAAUAUGCCUGGACCACAUUAGCUUUGCAAUGCCUGGACCAAUAUGAACAACAUAGAACACAGUUGCAGGGAAACAAAGGGACAUCUCAACAGUGUAGUUUAUGAUGAUGUCAUCCACUUCAGUUCAAGAUGGCGGGCAUGUAAACCUUUGAGGUGCAAGUGGGCUAACUUGUGAAUUGCCUAACCGAUUUGAACCAAAUUUGCUACAAUUGUAUGGACACAUGGGGAUGCCUCAAUGGCAUAGUUUGUGAUUAUGUCAUCCCCGAUUCAAGAUGGUGGAUAUGUGAACGUUUGAGGCACAUGGGCUAACUUGUCGAUCGUUUAACUGAUUAGAAGCAAAUUUGGUAUAGCUGUAGUGCAUGACACAUAGGGACACCUCAACAGCAUGAUUUGUGAUGAUGCCAUCCACCCCAAUUCAAGGUGCUGGAUGCAUAAACAUUUGAGGUACAAGUGGGCUAACUUGUGAAGUGUGUGACUGAUUUGAACCAAAUUUGGUACAGUUUUAGGGACACAUAGAGACACCUCAACAGUUUAGUUUGUGACAAAGUCAUCCAUCCCAAUUCAAGAUGGCAGACAUGUUAACAUUAGAGGCGCAAGUGGGAUAAAUUAUGAACUGCCUGAUUUGGACAAAAUUUAGUCCAGUUGUAGGGAUAGUGAAAGGAAAGUAGGCAGAUUAGUUCUUACUAGAACAACUUGUUUUCUAGUUAUAUGAUUUGUUGCCAAAUAUCCACUUUAGAGUCACAUUACACAAGUGUUUAGCUAUUUCAUUUCUUCUUUACAUUUUCUAUGACUGCGCCUAAUUUUAACAUGUAUGUGUCAGAAAAGCUGAGCUGUGGGCAGUAGUAUCGAAGAGCACGAGUCAAAAAACCAGGACUGGGAGAGUCAGGAACACUGGGACCAGUGAAGUAGAUGAGCCAGAGCUGAAGGACUGAGGCAAAAAUCAGGAGCAAAGGACAUGCAGGAGUGGAGCAAAGUAAACCUACUAGGAACCAGAGAGCCAAGGCUGGAAUGAAGGACCAAGAGCAUGCAGGAGGUCAACAAGAAGUGUCUCUCUAGUCAGAGGGUCAGAAGCCAGGGGUCAAAUCCACACCAAAGCUCAAGCCAGAACAGCAGUCAGAAGCCAAGAAUCUCACACAGCUAAGUAGUAGUCACACGCAGGCCAGAGAUCACACCAUGGAGUCAGGAGAACCAGCCAUGUGAUACACACCAGACCAAGAAACCAUGAUACUGAGCCAAGGCCUGCCUUAGCUAGUAAGUAUCUUAUACUUCCUGCUACAGGGAGAAGGCCAGUAAGUGAUUCCCUAGGAUGGGACUUGCUUAGGGCUUCAGAAGCCCAGGAGUCUGCUUGUAAUAUAGCAGGCUGCCACAGGGAGCAGCAAGAUGCAGGGCUGCUGAGCAGGCAGGGCAUGAUAGUAUGAUCCUAAUUUCAAGUAAAUGGUGGUAUUGGGUAGGGGGAAACUGCUGAGGGUUUAGGUAUAAUCCCAAAUUGUUACAAUCAAUGGGAAUGCUGUCAGUGACUUCAGUGGGAUGAGAAUUAUAGAAGGACAUUAGUGGAGAGCAGCAGCCAUGAAGACAGACAUUGCCUGCUCAUCUACAGCUUAUGUGGACACAGAGCUGAUCCUACUAUAAGGUAAGGUGAAGAAGCCUACCUUAUAUGUAAAUUUUGAGUCGACAAAAUUGAAUUGUCAACUAUUUACUUCAUCGUCAUAUUUUCAGCACUGGAGGCACCUUUAGGAUUGUUGGCCUUAGGAUCAAAAUGUUUUGGUUGUCUCUAUGAAAAGGAAACACUCCUAAGGACUGCCCCCUUUCCAUACGAACUCUGCCAACAGCUGUAGCUCUGUUAUUCCCCUUCCAUUUGAAGUAUGGUCCAUGGGAACACGGGAUAGGCAUUUUUCAGUUGUGGCACCCAAGUUAUGGAAUGCCCUUCACAAAGAGGUUCACCUGAAGACCAGCAAAGCAGACUUUUUAAGUAGGUAUUUGGAAUACAGUAUCUGAAACUCUAUAUUAUUGAUUCCAUUUACACUUCUGUCACUGGUUGUGUUUUUAAUUGUUAAAAGAAGAACAAUUAUAAUGAAUUAUCUUGUGGGACUCCUGAGGGAAAGGAGGUACAAGUCUGUGUGUGUGUGUGUGUGUGUGUGUGUGUCUGUCUGUCUGUCUGUCUCUCAGUAAUUCCCAAAUGUCACAUCUAAUGACUUUACACAUGAUAGCCAGCGUGGUGCAGUGGCUAGAGUGCUGGACUAGGACCAGGGAUACCCGAGUUCAAAUCCCCAUUCAGCCAUGAAACUAGCUGGGUGACUCUGGGCCAGUCACUUCUCUCUCAGCCUAACCUACUUCACAGGGCUGUUGUGAGGAGAAAUCUAAGUAUGUAGUAUACUGCUCUGGGCUCCUUGGAGGAAGAGUGGGAUAUAAAAUGUAGAUUUUAUAGAUGUAGAUAUAAAUCUAUAUAUCUAUAGAUGUCUAUAUAAAAUGUUAAUUAUAUCUAUAGAUGUAGAUAUAAAAUGUAAAAAUAAAUAAAUAAAUAAAUAAAAUCUAAUUGCAGUCUAGUUUAAUCAUGUCCACUACAAACUUUACAAUAUAUACACAUUAAUCUUAGUGAAUUCAUUUAUUGGAUAUAUAUUUAAUAUAUUAUUUCAUAUCUUAGUAUAGUCAUCUGUUUCAGAUAGUUUAUUAUUUUGGAAAAUACUUUGUGCUACUUUAUAAAAAUGGAUAUAAUUCUUGGCUUCAAAAAAAUACAGAUUAUAAUUAAUAAACAUUGUUGCAAUUCAGAUCAAACGUUUGAUCUUCAGUCACAGUCUCCAAAAAUACUAUGAAUUUCAUUAUGCAAGAUUUAACUAGGAAGAUGAUCUGUGGAAAAUGAACCUAAAUAUUUUGUUAAAAUAACAUGCAAAUAAAUAUAAUGACUCACAUGUUCUGCAGCAGUACGGGGAUGGAAGAAGGGCUGUGCGCUCACUGAGAGCCUAGAGAGUAGCUGUAUUGAAGGCUUGUUCUGCAGCCCAGUAUGUGGGAAGCAAGAUGGCGAAGCAAUUCCCACUUCUUUCCCUUUCCUACAAAAACUCCUUUUGCUUCCAGAAAUACAUCCCUGAAGGUGGUGCAACCCUCAAGGACAUAAAUCUGGAAACACAAAGGGCUUUGGAGGGAGAGCAGAGAAGCAAAAAUCACUCUCCCCACCAUGUGCAUUCAACUGCAAAAGAAGCCUUCACAUCAGCUAUUCACCAGCCUCUCUUCAAGGAUUCAGUCCUUCUGCCCUUGUACUGCUACGGAACAUAUAGGCCAAUGCAAAAAAUCUAUAUAUUCCUCUUUUUCUUAAAAAAAAAUGCAAAUUUCUGAAUCAUAAGUUAAUAUAUAGUUAAAUAAUUAUGUAGUUUGCUUGCAAUAUAAAAAUAACAGCAAUUUUGUAAUGUCAGGUCCACAAUCUGCUUGGGAGUCCUCUUGUGCUAGUACCAUUGAACUAAAGAAGAGCUGUGAAAGAGACUUGUCUUUGCAGGCUGGUAGCAGAAAGUCUAUAUUUUAAUCUUCUGUUCGAAUAUAGCCAGAAGUAAGAGACAGAGCCAACCUAAUACUAAUCCAAUGUUCUGCAGGAGAAACAUCAACCAGGGUCGCUGUGUCUGAACAUGAGUCAUUUCAGGAAGCUAAAAAAAGAAUAAGACAACAGUAUGGGAGCCAAAUAUAUUAAUCUCUGGGGGGCAAAGUCUUAUGGGAAACAUGACAAACUUCAUUAGCGUUUUAAGUCUAUGGUUUCUAAAUAUGAGAUACAAAUCUGAAGCAUGCUUGAGAUAUGUUAUUCUACAUCAUCAACUGACAAAUACAACUUUGGGAUUUCAGAUCUUACAUCAUCACUAUAAACAAUUACUAAACAUUUACAAUAAUAGUAUCUUUGAAGUAAUGAUUUGAUGCAAAGAGUGUCUCAUGAACAGAUAUCCUUCCUCUUUUCUGGGAAUAAAGCAGUUUUAAUACUUUUCAGCCUGCACAAUUGCUUUAUUUGGGCUGGGUACUGGUGACCAGGACUAAAUGGCUCAAAUCGGUUUUUCAAAUCAUUUAAAAACUCUUUUCUUUUUAAAUUUCACAAUAAUAACUUUGUUAGUCUUUAAGAUGCCACAAGACUUCAUUAUUUUUGCCAUAACUAACAUGAAUAUCACUCUGGAAAUGGUUCUCUUUUCCAUUUUCUUAUAAAAUAUUUGUUUUAAUGUAGUAUUAUACAACCACAGCCAUCAGGAUGGGGCUACAAACUUCAGUCAAGAAGAUUACUAUGUCAUGCUUUGAUGUAAAAAUGAUCAUAGAAUAAAAAUAAGAUGUGUUCAUCUCUC